CAAAACUUGGAAAUCUUCAAAUCAUCUCAAGAAUAUUCAAGGGUUUGUACAUAUAGGCAGCCAUGUGAGAAGGAGUAGGGUAUCAAUGAUUAAUCUGUCAAAGUUCAUCUUACGGUUAUUUAGUGGAUUGAUUCUUCUAUUCAUCUUAUCUCUCCAAUCUUCUCUAAUUUUCUAUCAUUUUCCCCACCUCGGUUUUGUUUUUUAUUCAUUUAUUUGGCUACUAUUCAGUUGACUUCAAUUGAGUUGAAUUUCCGUUUAGUUGCGGUUAAGGAGGAGCUGGAGCUAGAGUCCAAACUGUGACAAAUAGUGAUAUGGUGAUUUAAGGUGUCAAGGAAAAAGAACGAGAGGAUGAAAGUGAAUCUGAAGACAAUGAACUCAACGAGGUAAGGUUACUUCUGUAUUUUUGUCUUUGUAACCUUCUGUUGCAUUGUCAUAUCGAGUUUAUGGAAAUUAGCUUUUGUCUAUUGGAAUAUAGUGAGUCAGUGACCUCUCUGGAGUAAUGAAAUUUAUGUUAGUUGAUUUCUUGUGCUAUUACCCGAAAAAUUGAAUAAUGAUAUGUUUCUGGUCAAAAGAAAUUAGGAGUCUUGUAUAUUUUGUGUAUUGAGAAAUGCAUAUUGCUUUCUGAUAUAUGUUUGUGUAUAUCUGAAAUUUGACACUGGACAACUCACGUAGCUUUGGUUAUGCAUUAGGUGCAAAUUCUGGACACCAAAGAAGCCUUUUUAAUAUGUAUUUAUUGUACUUAAUUCUGGAUACAGAGAAAGAUUGAUCCCAAUGGCCAAGGACGUAUAUACAAGGAUGUUUUGUUUUGCAUUUUUAUAAAGAUUCUUGUAGAAUUUGUCUUUAUCUAUGCCGUCAGAAUAUGCAAGUGGACUGCAUGCUCUAUUUAUGAAAGAUAUAUUAGGUACACAUUAUUGAAGAUUACUAAAUAUGACAAUGAAAAUAUGACAAUGAAUGUGAUUUGUUACUCCUUCACUUCCUCUUUAAUCCUAAGUGCAAUUCAAUGUACCAAAUGUAUCAUAACUGU
rnacentral:lncRNA from 1 species